GACGAACGCUGGCGGCGUGCUUAACACAUGCAAGUCGAACGAUGAAGCCGGAGCUUGCUCUGGUGAAUUAGUGGCGAACGGGUGAGUAACACGUGAGUAACCUGCUCUUGACUCUGGGAUAACUGCGGGAAACUGUAGCUAAUACCGGAUACGACCCUCGGAGGCAUCUCCUGGGGGUGGAAAGAAUUUCGGUCAAGGAUGGACUCGCGGCCUAUCAGCUGGUUGGUGAGGUAAAGGCUCACCAAGGCGACGACGGGUAGCCGGCCUGAGAGGGUGACCGGCCACACUGGGACUGAGACACGGCCCAGACUCCUACGGGAGGCAGCAGUGGGGAAUAUUGCACAAUGGGCGCAAGCCUGGUGCAGCAACGCCGCGUGAGGGAUGACGGCCUUCGGGUUGUAAACCUCUUUUAGCAGGGAAGAAGCGAAAGUGACGGUACCUGCAGAAAAAGCACCGGCUAACUACGUGCCAGCCGCCGCCGUAA
rnacentral:rRNA from 1 species